AUGCUCACUACUGCAGCACAAAAACUAAACCUGGAAAGAUACAGAGAAGAUUAGUAUGUCCUUUGCAUAUGGAUAUCAGCAAAUUCAUGAGGCAUUCCAUAGUUUA
ensembl:snRNA U6 U6 spliceosomal RNA